GGAUUAGGCAUGCAAGUCGAACGAGGAUAUAUCCUUCGGGGUAUAAACCGAGUGGCGAAAGGGUGAGUAAUGCAAAAAUAACAUACCUUUAGGUUAAGAAUAGCUUUGUGAAAAUGGAGAUAAUGCUUAAUAAUACAAAGGAAAGAUAAUGACCUUUGUCAAAGGAGGGCUGUAAAAGGCCUUUUACCGAAAGAGUGGUUUAUGUCCUAUCAGCUUGUUGGUGGGGUAAUGGCCCACCAAGGCGAAGACGGGUAGCCGGUCUAAGAGGAUGGUCGGCCACACUGGGACUGAGACACUGCCCAGACUCCUACGGGAGGCUGCAGUCGAGAAUCUUUCGCAAUGCCCGAAAGGGUGACGAAGCGACGCCGCGUGAGUGAAUAAGGCCUUCGGGUUGUAAAACUCUGUCAGGGGUUAAGAAAGGUAGGUCUGUGAAUACCAGGCUUAUUUGACAAAAGCCCCAAAGGAAGCCACGGCUAACUCUGUGCCAGCAGCCGCGGUAAUACAGAGGUGGCAAGCGUUGUUCGGAAUUAUUGGGCGUAAAGAGCACGUAGGUGGGUUUGUAAGUCAGGUGUGAAAGCCUUCUGUUCAAAGGAAGAACUGCAUCUGAAACUACAUUUCUUGAGUAUAGGAGGGGGAGAGUGGAACUUCUGGUGGAGCGGUGAAAUGCGUAGAUAUCAGAAGGAACGUCGGCGGCGAAAGCGACUCUCUAGCCUAUUACUGACACUGAGUGUGCGAAAGUUAGGGGAGCAAACGGGAUUAGAUACCCCGGUAGUCCUAACCGUAAACGAUGGGCACUAAGUAGAGGGGUUUU
rnacentral:rRNA from 1 species